rnacentral:lncRNA from 1 species
AAGAAAAUACAAUUCUAGAUCAAAGUUUAUUUUUGUGUAUCAGCCGAAUGUGUAUCGCAGCAGUUAAACUUCAGAUUCUUACAGUUGGGGAGGAUGGGACGCCGAAGACCAAGCACCCGCCCUCUGUGUGGUACCAGGUGAGGAUUUGCUGUCUGCUUCUGAGGUGGCUCCUGGCUGCUGUGUCCCCUGAGCAGAGAGACUGCUGCGUCUUCAUGCCACAGAAGACACUCAAGGAAAAAGCUCACCUCUGCAAGUCCUUUCUAAGAGGCAACUAGUUACACCAGGAUAAUGGCUAGAUUGCUUUGAGUCUCUUCUGCAGGGGAAUCAAAGUUAGAGAAGAUACAAGAAUGGAAGCAGAAUCCAGAAAGAGGGAGGAAGGGGCCACAAGCCAAGGGACCAAGGUGGCUUCUAGAAGCCAGAGAAGUAAGGACUCGGAUGCUCCUGAGAGUCUCCAGAGAAACCACAGCCAUGCCCACACUGAUUUUAGUCCAGUAAAAGUGACUGUCGCCUUCUGACCUCC